AACAGAGGCCUCAAGCGUUUAGGCGGAAUCACUGGGCUUAAAGCGUGUGUAGGCGGAUCGUUAAGUGUCUUGUGAAAUCCCACGGCUCACCCGUGGAACGGCUGGGCAUACUGGCGAUCUUGGGCCAACUAGGGGCAACUGGAACAAGCGGUGGAGCGGUGAAAUGCGUAGAUAUCGCUUGGAACGCCGGAAGGUGAAAACAGGUUGCUGGGGUUGUGCCG
rnacentral:rRNA from 1 species